rnacentral:tRNA from 1 species
GGAGAGAUGGCUCAGUGGUUAAGAGCACUGGCUGCUCUUCCAGAGGACCUGAGUUCAAUUCCCAGCAACUACA